AGCAGCCGCGGUAAUUCCAGCUCCAAUAGCGUAUAUUAAAGUUGUUGCAGUUAAAAAGCUCGUAGUUGAAUUUCGGGGUUAGUAGGCUGGUCAUGCCACCGGUAUGUACUGGUCUUACUGAUUCCUCCUUCCUGAUGAACUGUAAUGCCAUUAAUUUGGUGUUGCAGGGAAUCUGGACUGUUACUUUGAAAAAAUUAGAGUGUUUAAAGCAGGCUAACGCUUGAAUACAUUAGCAUGGAAUAAUGAAAUAGGACGUUCGAUCCUAUUUUGUUGGUUUCUAGGAUUGACGUAAUGAUUAAUAGGGAUAGUUGGGGGCAUUAGUAUUCAAUUGUCAGAGGUGAAAUUCUUGGAUUUAUUGAAGACUAACUACUGCGAAAGCAUUUGCCAAGGAUGUUUUCAUUAAUCAAGAACGAAAGUUAGGGGAUCGAAGACGAUCAGAUACCGUCGUAGUCUUAACCAUAAACUAUGCCGACUAGGGAUCGGAUGAUGUUAAUUUUUUAAUGACUCAUUCGGCGCCUUACG
rnacentral:rRNA from 1 species